rnacentral:rRNA from 1 species
GAUGAACGCUGGCGGCGUGCCUAAUACAUGCAAGUCGAACGAGGUGCUUUUGUAGUAAUACGGAAGUAUCCUAGUGGCGAACGGGUGAGUAACGCGUUGGUGACCUACCCCAAAGUGUGGAAUAACAGUUCGAAAGGAUUGCUAAUACCGCAUGUGGUCAUUGGAUUUAGAAACCGAUGUCUAAAGGAGUAAUCCGCUUUGGGAGGGACCUGCGUCCCAUCAGCUAGUUGGUGAGGUAACGGCUCACCAAGGCGACGACGGGUAGGGGACCUGAGAGGGUGACCCCCCACAAUGGAACUGAAACACGGUCCAUACACCUACGGGUGGCAGCAGUAGGGAAUAUUGCACAAUGGGCGAAAGCCUGAUGCAGCAACGCCGCGUGCGCGAAGAAGGCCCUCGGGUCGUAAAGCGCUUUUCUGGGAGAUGAGU